GGCGGCAGAGGGCGCCUGGCGCUGCGGUCCGGAGCGCCGAAGCCGCCCGCGCGGGCGCCGAGAGGAGAGGCGAGGCGAGGCGGGGAGCGCGAGCGGCGGCGGCCACUGCCACGUCUUCCCGGCAGUGGCGGCGGCGGCGGCGCGGGAGGAGGAAUAAUCCAGGUCGCCUUCACUGGAAAUCAGUUUGCUGAAACUAUUGAUACGCAGUUCUUAACGCUGAAGAAAAGGAGGUCCUGCGCCUUGACCACACAAGCGUGGCCCUUCCUCCAGACCCCCGCUCCGGACGCGCCCACCUAGCGUCUCCCAGGAACCAUGCGGCAGCUCAAGGGGAAGCCCAAGAAGGAGACGUCCAAGGACAAGAAGGAGCGGAAGCAGGCCAUGCAGGAGGCCCGGCAGCAGAUCACCACCGUGGUGCUGCCCACGCUGGCCGUGGUCGUGGUCCUGAUCGUGGUGUUUGUGUACGUGGCCACGCGCCCCACCAUCACCGAGUGAGGGCCCGCCCCGAGGGAGGAGGCUCGGGAGGGGAGAGCAGAAGAAGGGCCUUCAUCCGCUGCGAUUUUCCUGAUGCCGAGCUCUGAGCAGGAGCCCCCGUCUCCUCUGGUCUGUGACUUGAUUAAAGGUUCUCCACUUUUCUCGGGAGGGAAUAGGAAACGUUUUAUCAGUGAACGUGCCAUACACCUUAUGGUCCACUUCAUGUGCCUUUCAGACUUCAAAGCCGUGUGUGUGUGUGUGUGUGUGUGUGUGUGUUUCUCGCCUGCAAUCGAUGUGUAGCCCCACCUGGUGAGAGGAGGCGUCUCUGGGUCACGGAUCAGUUGGAAUCAGUGCUCACCCCAUCCCCGUUGUUUUGAACAUGACUUUCCUACACGUGUUCACAAUUUCCAAAGGGACUGUGUUUCUUCUCUGUGCUUCAUGUGAUUUGAAAUAUGUCGACUCAAAAGUGAAAUAUUUAUUUUUUGAAUAAAGGAGAUGAUAGCC
rnacentral:lncRNA from 1 species